GGGCCAUAGCUCAGUGGUAAAGAAUCUGCUUUGCAUGCAGAAAGUCCCAGGUUCAGUCCCUGGCAUCUCCG